CUUUUUCUGUUAAUAACAGGGUUUACAAUCUAAAUACGUGAUCGUACUUCAGCCCGUCACUCUUCAACAAGAGAGAAGGGUGUCAGCGGAUUGACCUGUAGUCUCAAUGGCCCCCAGUCUUCACAGAGCAGCUCCAGACACAUGCAGGCGACGGCGUUAAGUGUCAUAAUUUCACUAUUUUCUCAGACAUAAAUACGGAGACGUGGAAGUCAAAGGUCAACUGCAUAAAACUUCCCUAUUUAGAGGUCAGUAGACGCAUAUCGUCUGAAGGGGGGGGAGCGGCAACUUGGAACAAAAAGGCAAUUCACAGGAGAAAAAGUUACGGCGAGUGACUCCAGCUCUACUUCCUGCCACAAAACGAACAGAAAAUUAAUUGUAACUCUGGACUACAAAGGUCUUCAUGCACCGCAGAAGAAGAACAAAACGCCUAAGUGGGCCCAGAGCGGCAGCAGGAGGAUUAGAGGUCUUAUGUUUGACACAAUUGUACUUUUCUUGAUAUCUCACUGAGGAGACAUUCUGGCGUCUAUUGAGAGUAUUAUCUUUGUCGCGUACAGUAAAAUGGUGACCGGCUACAGAACCGACUCCUCCGUGGACUCGAGUGUUUCUAUUUCAGGCUGUGAGAUUCAGCGACGCAGUGCGAGGGAGGGAGAGCGCGAGGCAGCUAAUGGACGUCUUUAUCAGUGUUUCCCUCGUAAGUUUGAGUCGUGCACUUAAUCACAGUCUGACAAACAAAUAGCUGUUCGCUCACGUCUGGUACAGAUGUUUGCUCUCCUCUGAAUCCUGAUACCAGCAGAGCUCUCAGUGUUGGAGAGGUUCACGCUACCUGAUAAGAAAACAGGCCCCCUGCAUACCCACACAUACAUGCAGUGUAAGAUUUUUGAAACGGGAGUCGUUUUAGUUUAAAUUAAUCAAGAAAAGGCAGUGAGGGGUGAAUGGCAGUGCUACAGGAUGUGACUCGCUGUGGUUUCUCUCCUCCGAGGGUUAUUAUUUCGUACAAAUCUGUCAUGUUUGACAACAAAAGGAUGCAAAUGCAGAGGCAGGAGGGUGAAGAACAAAUGUUUCUGUUGUUCAACAAUCCAAAAUCCAAAAAUCAGAGAGAUAAAAAGGCAGCAAAUCGUAGAAUCCAGGAAACAGAAAUGCACAAAUGGAGAACAAACUCUAAAGUCAUGGGGAGAAAAAAUCCAGGACACAAGGACAAGAACGCUGGAGACACGAGACAAAAUCAGAGAAAGAAACAAAGUGAGAGUACAGAGGCUUAAAUAAACAGGAAAUGACCAACUAAUGAGACACAGAAAGAGGGCGGGAAAACAGACAAAGACAGGAAGCAGAGAGUCAAUUAAAAUAAAGUUGAAGGAGCUUAAAAGAUGUUCAUGAUGUUCAUUUUCAUCAGAAAAUACCCCACGUUUGAUUUACAAAGCCUUUAUGUGUCUCAAACAAAGGCGGUUGCUAACAAGCUAACAACGCUAAAUGAGACGAUGAGGUCGUCUUGGACAUUAAACAUGCUCACGGUGAACACGGAGACUCACCUGAUCGUAGCCUUUCUUUACAGCUGGACUUUAGUGGCAAACUAUUUAACGUUACAACUUGCAGAUUGCUGAAUUUACAGUCAGCCGCUAUGUAGCCUUAUUUUAGCUUCUUACUUUACAUUUACGCUUAAAAAAUGACAGUAUUCUUCAGACAGAAGACAGAAGUAUUUUUCAUUUAGUGAACACAACGUGUAACUGUCGCUAAUAUUUUCAACAAUAAUCCAAAAUCAGUGGAGCAGUUAGCACCUUCCUUCACUUGGUUUGUUUAGUACUAUAAGAUGUUAGCGGAGAGAGAGGAUUGCUAACUGCAGAUAUGACGAGAAGUUAGCUAAAACGAUGACAAUGCUAACAGUAGCUUUCAGAUAGAUUUCCAGAAUAUGGGAGCAUUUUGGCCAACUACUGCUAUCUUCCCUUCAGCUUAAUCUUUAUGUUAACAAUCCCACACCAGUCACAACAAAUUCCAGUCUCCAGACACAACAGCUCGACUGCUGUUUCUUUCUCCUCGCUUGACCCCGACUCAGGAAAGGCCUUUUUUGGAGCGGUGGAGAACCGCCGGGUGUCCGAGCUUAGAUAUUUCACAGCUCAGCAGGUUCCUCAGCAUGUUGAUACAAGUGCUGGGAAAUAACACACAGCCCGGCUGAUUCAUGCCAUUUGUGUUUUUCAUUUAGUUGUCAUGUGCAGGACCUUUUUUUUUUCCUCAGAGGAACCCGUGGAUAAAACUGACCCACAUUAGCAGCAGAUGUUUUGGGUCACGGAGCGGAGCGUCUUAUGUGCUUUUUCCCAGGGGCUCGUGUGGUGAGAGGAGUUAUCAGUCAUGGACGCCGGAGGGGAAGCUGUGCGAGGAGGACGAGCCGUCGAGGAACCUCUGAAGCGUCUGUUAACAGCUGCGAGGAAAUUAAUUUGAAGCCAGUGUGGAAAAAAAAUAAAUAAAUGGGGGGGAGAUAAAAAGGACUACACAAACCCAAGUCUGAAAAAUUUAUAGUGCUCAUUCGGGAGAGCUCUAUAAGGUGAGAUAAAGGAUGUAACUGAUCCUCGUGCAGCUGCAGCUUUUAACGCUUACGAAGAAAAAGGUGCUCUGCAGAGGCGUCUGGGUUAGCACGCUGGUUUUCCUCACCAAUAAAACCAUGAAGUAAGAAUGACAUAGCCGGGCUUGUCUUUCCCACACGAUCCGCACACCGUAUCUCAUGUUUGUUGGGGCUUAACAGGGCCGUCAGUUAGUUACAGCUCCUCUCAGAGGCCGUGGAAAAGAUUGAAAAACACUUCCAUGAAAGCUGCAUGUAGAGAAGAAGCACAAGAGUUACAGAAUUUAUGAAAAAUAUCGUUCCACAAUCUUUUGAGGCUGAUGAGUUGAAAGUCCUCGACGGUCCAGGACGAUUCCACCGAGCUGUGUACACAAACUGGAACCUGAUACCAUUUGAUAAGUUGGAAAUGUCAGACCUUUUCUUCUCUUCUGCGAGUGUCUACGUUUGUGUACGGAGCGGAUUGAUGUGGCUUCAUCAGAAAGACGUCUUUACCGCUGCGGCUCAGCCUCAUGUGUUUCAAAUAAACUGGAUUCAGUUUUCUGCCAAAUGAGGCAGUGGAAAUGAGCGCUAUCUCCCAGAGUGAUAUUACAGUGUAAAAACGCUCUGUUACCUGUUUUAUGGCAACAAUUACAAUCUGCAGGUCUUAUCUUGAGACUCUGUAAUGCUGUAGAUGGAACAGAAUGUACUUAUUUACCAUGUAAAGUCAUAAAAUUAGGUAUUCAAGGGAAAGAAACACACACACUAAAGAGUCACUCCAGUGCUUUGGAAAUGUGGAAAUAGCUGUUCUGCUUCAGUUUUGUGUGUGUUUCAAGGAUUUGAUUUGGAAAAAAUUGCAGCUUUGUUCCCAGUGUGGGAUUGUGAUGGUCCACUGAUGGAUGUCCGGGCUUCUACCUUCACACGUAAAUCAGUAAAUAUUUGUUUCUGCAUUGCAAGAAAACCAAAGGACGCAUCAGCAGUAGCAAGAUGAAAGCACAUCACCAGAGUAACCGCUAACUGCUGCUAAACGUAGCGGUCCGUCGGCUAGUUAGCUGCUAGCGUCCUGGAACAGGCCAGAGCUAGCUGGUUAGCAUGCUAACUAAAGUGUAUAUCUCUGCAACACAACACAGACGUCUCAGACAUAACAAGUGUAUUCACUUUUUUCUUGAACUUAUUUAUCAUUUGUAUUAUUAUCUAUUAUUUAUGUAUUCUGUCCUCCUCCUCGCACAUAUCAGCACAAUCAGAGUGUUUUGUUUUGUUAUUUCCGUGUCUGCCACCUGUUAAAAAGAUUCAGACUGUGAUGGAAAACAUUUAUGAUGCAUUUUGAUAUUUUCACAGUUUUGAUUUUGAGAUAAAAAUGGUUGAAAGAUCGCUGCGGAGACGACUUAAUGAUCACUUGCUGACCAAAGUAAAAUCAAUCCUCAGGGUUCGUAGUUUGGACUCCUGUCAUCUGCACCGUUAAACACAAAUUGCAUGUUGCUCGUGUUCAUUUCUUGAACUGAAAAAACAGACAGAAAACUCGAGUCGACGGCUGUUGUGUUGGAUGAGGUGAACAAAGUGGAGGCGGAGGACGUGAUGCUCAUUUCUCUCUCUCUUUUUCUGUAUCAAAUGACUAUAAAGUCGAAACAUGUUUAGUUAUGUGAAGAAAAACACAAAAUUCAGACAACAGAUGUGAUGAAAUAAAAUGCAGGAAGUCUCUCAGUCAUGUGGAUUGUCAAAAUAAAAGUCCUCUGUAUCCUCCUGAAAAUCUGCGCCCAUGAUCAGCAGAAUAUUAACAACACAAUUUGAUACUUCUUGGUUGCGACUUUAAGUGGUGGAUGAGUCUGACGGCGACCUCGAAGGCAGCAAAUUGAUUUUAAAAUCCAACAUAUUUGAAUCAUCUUACAGUUAACGGUGUAAUGUACCAGGAUGAGCAAAAACAGAUGUUUUCUUCCAAACGAGUGCUUUUUUAACGUACCGUCAUAUACUGUAGGUUUCCUGUAGUCCUCAAACAUAAAUGCACACACAGAAGUGAACAUCGCCUCUUUUUCACUAAUCUGAAAUGAAACCCAACCUCAAAGGGCAACAGAGGGACUCGGCGGAGACUAAUGUUUUGAAAACGGGGUGAGUCACACUCAGAAUCCAUCGGAACUGCUCUCCACGGCUAAUUAAAAUAAACCAGUGGCCUGCAAUCACGGAUCCAGUUGGCGCGGUCCGUAUAAACAGCCCGUUGCCCUAAAAAGAGAACCGUUGAUUCUCAGGACCAAAACAGUGGCUCGUGUCCCAGGAGCGAGAGUGCGGCGCUGGACGACAACACUAAAGGCCACAUCUGGCAUCGCUGUGUCGUGAAAAACACUCCGGAGAUGUGGAGAUAUAUCAGACGGCCGCGGUGCUGCUCCAAACAUCCAUGUGGAUGUUCCACAUUUGACUGGCUGAGUGUUUACUUCUGGAAACGUCUCUCGAGUGGCGCGAAGACGUGACAGCGGAUUCUGGCACCGCAGACUCGAUCCGUCCCAAACGGGCUCGCCAACGUCAACGUGACAGUAGGUGAAAACUAAUACCCCUCGAAAAAAAUUUUGUGUGAGGUUUAAGUUUUCCCACAUGGAAACGUUCCGGGAGCUGUUGGCACGGGCCGGAACCAUCAGACCUGAGAUCUGGGUUGUGAUACCGAACGCUGGCAAAAGAAUCGACUCCCAGUGUUGUAACAAGGACCCGAAAGUCCUGCGUGAGUCAAGGUAAAGAUAUCGAGUUGGAGCAUUGAUUCAGUGUUAAAGUGAGAGUCUCAAACUGAUUUCAAAAGAUGUUAUUUUCACCCUGGACACUUUUCAAAACACUGUUUUUAAUCUUCAGGCUUCCAAAAACUUGGACAGGCUGUAUGGAGCUGUUUUCUGUUUGCUACCUGCUCUCUUUUUUGUGUGUUUCUGGACUGAUUGCAGUGGAUUCAGAUCACCUGUUGCAGGUUGUGGAGGCUGAUGUGUUUCCCUCACAGCCAAUCAGGGAGUGACGACGCCCUUCUGUGAAGACUUAAGAGAGGCUGGGUAAAGACACCCAGCUCAGUCCGGUUCUGUCCUGAUCUGUUGUGUUCUGGCCUUGUUAAGAUUUCAUUGCUGCUCUUGUUCUUUCUGGGCUUGAGUGCGAGACAACCGACAAUCAAAAGUUACCGUUCGACGAGGCUACCUGUCCAGAUGUGGUGCAACGGAUACAUAAAGCAGCGGGGAAUUGAAAUACUAAAGAACAAAUACCUCAAACCUGUCGACUCCUCGUGUCUUUUCCUCCGUCCACACUUGGAUCGUGUGUUUAAUGUGUCGAAUCAUCCACAGUCGUCCUUUUAUGGAGACGCACAUGUAUUCCUGCCGACCCUCCGUCUGUCCACACUUCAUUCAUUUGUUUCUGUUCUGCAUGCAUACCUGCAAAUAUGCAGAAUACGCUGAAAGUAAAAAAAAAGAUUGAGACACAGCACCGGCCUGUUCUCACUCCUCCCCGCUCAAUUUGCUGUUUUUGGUCUCAGCUUUAUUGAACUAGCUCUGUAUACCUGGCUCACACCCUCCUCUUCCUCUGCAACAAUAACACCGCGGUGCCAGGAAGUUCCUGUUCUCAGCGCUCAGGCGCUGCCAGCGUUGAGGGGAACGAGGCACGGCCUCGGAUUCUUUUCACGCACGACGAUGUGAUGUUCGCUGGGUUUUUUUCCCUCGUCGUUUAUUUGGAGAAGGAAGAAUGCCACAUCCACCUCGCGCUCCAUUGUCAACAUCGCUCUCUUCCCCGAGAGCUCGGCGGCACGACGAGAUGUUCUGAGGACGACUGUUUAUCAGUUCGCCGUCCCACGCUUGCCAUUCACGUCCACCGACGACCUCGCUGUGAGCCGGCAGACGUAAAAACUCAUGGUUUUUAAUUAUUUUUCCACUUAUCAUAUUUAAUUUAUUUCCACCAUCGGCUACUGGCAUUUCAUCAUCCGUGCGGUUCAGACACACAUUCAAAGAAUAACACAUAUCAAACCACGCUGUGUAAUAGAGGCCUACAGGACCGGAGUGAGGCAUAAGAAUCACUUAUCGUGGCCGCUGUGAUGUGUAAACAGUCUGCUGUAGGUCAGCGGCUGCAGCACUUGUGCUCUUACAGCACGUAUAAACACGCUUCAGAUGAUGAAGAAGGUGCUAACAGAGGCCGAGGCUUGAAAAGAGAGCACAGAGAGUCAGACAGGAUCAUGUUUUUUUUCCGUCUGUGCAGAGGGCUCAUGGACUUUAUGUACUGUAAGAUUAAAGAACAAGAACUAACCAGUUUAUUUGACUCAUUUCUAGUCUAGAAUGUCCCAUACACUCAAUUAAAGAAACAAUCAGCAGAAAGUGGGAUGUCAGGGAGAGAAACUGGACUUAUUCUUAGAUAAUGUAAACUUUUUGAACUCACAAGCAAGAAACACGUUGAAUUUAUUAGUUUGCCUCGUAGGAAAAGCUCCAGAUCAGCUGCUGAAUGACAACCGAUGUUUCUAAUGGACUCAUUUCCUGAGGAACAAGCGGGAAAAAGUUAAAAGUAGUGACCACAUGAUGA